rnacentral:rRNA from 1 species
UGGGGAAUAUUGCACAAUGGGCGAAAGCCUGAUGCAGCGACGCCGCGUGGGGGAUGACGGUCUUCGGAUUGUAAACUCCUUUCAGUAGGGACGAAGCGAAAGUGACGGUACCUGCAGAAGAAGCACCGGCCAACUACGUGCCAGCAGCCGCGGUAAUACGUAGGGUGCAAGCGUUGUCCGGAAUUACUGGGCGUAAAGAGCUCGUAGGCGGUUUGUCACGUCGUCUGUGAAAUCCUCCAGCUCAACUGGGGGCGUGCAGGCGAUACGGGCAGACUUGAGUACUACAGGGGAGACUGGAAUUCCUGGUGUGGCGGUGAAAUGCGCAGAUAUCAGGAGGAACACCGGUGGCGAAGGCGGGUCUCUGGGUAGUAACUGACGCUGAGGAGCGAAAGCAUGGGGGGCAAACAGG